rnacentral:rRNA from 1 species
UAGGGAAUAUUGCGCAAUGAACGAAAGUUUGACGCAGCGACGCCGCGUGAGGGAUGAAGGUCUUCGGAUCGUAAACCUCUGUCAAGAGGGAAGAAGUGUAGCAGCUCUAAUAUAGCUGUUAUUUGACGGUACCUCUGAAGGAAGCACCGGCUAACUCCGUGCCAGCAGCCGCGGUAAUACGGAGGGUGCAAGCGUUAAUCGGACUUACUGGGCGUAAAGCGCGCGUAGGCGGAAUUUUAAGUCAGAAGUGAAAUCCCCCGGCUUAACCGGGGAAUAGCUGUUGAGACUGGGAGUCUUGAGUUCAGGAGAGGGUGGCGGAAUUCCAGGUGUAGGAGUGAAAUCCGUAGAGAUCUGGAGGAACAUCAGUGGCGAAGGCGGCCACCUGGACUGAUACUGACGCUGAGGUGCGAAAGCGUGGGGAGCAAACA